UACAGAGGCCUCGAGCGUUAGGCGGAAUCACUGGGCUUAAAGCGUGUGUAGGCGGACUUCUAAGUACCUUGUGAAAUCCCACGGCUUACCCGUGGAACUGCUCGGUAUACUGGUUGUCUUGAGCCAUCUGAGGGCUACCGGAACAAAUGGUGGAGCGGUGAAAUGCGUAGAUAUCAUUUGGAACGCCAAUGGUGAAAACAGGUAGCUGGGGAUGUGCUGACGCUGAGACACGAAAGCCAGGGGAGCGAACGGG
rnacentral:rRNA from 1 species